AGGACGAACGCUGGCGGCGUGCUUAACACAUGCAAGUCGAGCGGAAAGGCCCUUCGGGGUACUCGAGCGGCGAACGGGUGAGUAACACGUGAGCAAUCUGCCCUUAGCUUCGGGAUAGCCCCCGGGAAACCGGGAUUAAUACCGAAUAUGACCUCGGCCGACAUCGGCUUUGGUGGAAAGUUUUUUCGGCUAGGGAUGAACUCGCGGCCUAUCAGCUUGUUGGUGGGGUAAUGGCCUACCAAGGCGACGACGGGUAGCCGGCCUGAGAGGGCGACCGGCCACACUGGGACUGAGACACGGCCCAGACUCCUACGGGAGGCAGCAGUGGGGAAUAUUGCGCAAUGGGCGAAAGCCUGACGCAGCGACGCCGCGUGGGGGAUGAAGGCCUUCGGGUUGUAAACCCUUUCAGCAGGGACGAAGCGAGAGUGACGGUACCUGCAGAAGAAGCGCCGGCUAACUACGUGCCAGCAGCCGC
rnacentral:rRNA from 1 species